GGUGAACGCUGGCGGUCUGCUUAACACAUGCAAGUCGAACGGAAUCCUUCGGGAUUUAGUGGCGGACGGGUGAGUAACACGUGAGGAUCUGCACUCAGGAUGGGGACAACAGCGGGAAACUGCUGCUAAUACCCAAUGUGCCGAAAGGUAAAAGAUUUAUCGCCUGAGAAUGAGCUCGCGGCCGAUUAGUUAGUUGGUGGGGUAAUGGCCUACCAAGACGGCGAUCGGUAGCUGGUCUGAGAGGAUGAGCAGCCACACUGGGACUGAGACACGGCCCAGACUCCUACGGGAGGCAGCAGUGGGGAAUUUUCCGCAAUGGGCGCAAGCCUGACGGAGCAAGACCGCGUGGGGGAGGAAGGCUCUUGGGUUGUAAACCCCUUUUCUCAGGGAAGAAGUUCUGACGGUACCUGAGGAAUCAGCCUCGGCUAACUCCGUGCCAGCAGCCGCGGUAACAC
rnacentral:rRNA from 1 species